rnacentral:tRNA from 1 species
GUGCCUGUGGCUGAAAGGUAUAGGGCGCUGGCCCCAUAUGCCAGAGGUGGUGGGUUCAAACCCAGCCCAGGCCA